rnacentral:rRNA from 1 species
AUUGAACGCUGGCGGCAUGCCUUACACAUGCAAGUCGAACGGUAACGGGCCUUCGGGUGCCGACGAGUGGCGAACGGGUGAGUAAUGUAUCGGAACGUACCUUUCAGUGGGGGAUAACGUAGCGAAAGUUACGCUAAUACCGCAUAUUCUGUGAGCAGGAAAGCAGGGGAUCGCAAGACCUUGCGCUGAUUGAGCGGCCGAUAUCAGAUUAGCUAGUUGGUGAGGUAAAGGCUCACCAAGGCGACGAUCUGUAGCGGGUCUGAGAGGAUGAUCGGCCACACUGGAACUGAGACACGGUCCAGCCUCCUACGGGAGGCAGCAGUGGGGAAUUUUGGACAAUGGGGGCAACCCUGAUCCAGCCAUGCCGCGUGAGUGAAGAAGGCCUUCGGGUUGUAAAGCUCUUUCGGCCGGGAAGAAAUCGUAUCAGCUAAUACCUGGUGUGGAUGACGGUACCGGCAUAAGAAGCACCGGCUAACUACGUGCCAGCAGCCGCCGUAAAAC